rnacentral:rRNA from 1 species
UACGGAGGGUGCAAGCGUUAAUCGGAAUUACUGGGCGUAAAGGGCUCGUAGGCGGCCAACUAAGUCAGACGUGAAAUCCCUCGGCUUAACCGGGGAACUGCGUCUGAUACUGGAUGGCUCGAGUUUGGGAGAGGGAUGCGGAAUUCCAGGUGUAGCGGUGAAAUGCGUAGAUAUCUGGAGGAACACCGGUGGCGAAGGCGGCAUCCUGGACCAAUACUGACGCUGAAUAGCGAAAGCCAGGGGAGCAAACGGG